GGGGUCGACAUGGUUUCGACGUGGAUUACAAAGCAUCAAGGGCAUACCGAGGACCCGUUAUCUCGUAAAUCAAUGGGAAUGCAAUAACUGCUAACGACGACGCACUAGCCGCUUAAAUGCGGUUGCCCCUGAACUGAUUCUCUCUUGGGUCAGGUAGCGCAAGCUACAUCAGGGUCAUUUACAAGAGAUAAGAUCAAUUCAUGUCACGGGGGUUGAUACGAAAAUCUAGUGAAUCGCUAUUGCAAAGCGUGUCGAUUCGCGUUGCACUGGUUAAAUUAAAUAAUUAGACUAAGUAUGUAGAACUUGUUGUAGAGUGUUUGCGGACGCGGGUUCGAUUCCCGCCGACUCCACCA
rnacentral:tmRNA from 1 species